GGGUUUAUUAAUUAAAAAUUAUAGUUUUAAUUUUCUCGAAUUUAAAAGAGCUAUUAUUAUAUAUUUUUUAUUGUAAAAUAACUAUUAUUAAUAUAAUAAUAGAAAUGAAACGUUAUUCGUUUUUAAAUAUAUCUAGUUUUUUAAGAAAAAAAUUUAAUUUUAUUUUUAUUUAUUUAUUAAAUUUAAUUUUUAAUUUAAUAUUGAUAAAAUUUUAUAUUUAAGGGGAUGAGCUUUUAAAUAAAUUUACUUAAAUUAUAUGGAUAAUUUUUAAUAAAUAGGAUUAUAAGUUUUUAUUUUUGGUAGUGUUUUAUAACUAAUUAAAUUGUAAAUAAGAUUUUUAUGUAAUGUAGUGUUUUUUAUUAAAAUAUAAGUUUAAAUUAUUUAGAUUUAGGAAUAAUGAUAAAAUUAGUAUAAAUUUUUAUCUUAUUUUUAUAAGAUUUAGAGGUUAAGUAAAGUAACUCGGCAAAUUUGUUUUUCACCUGUUUAAUAAAAACAUGGCCUUUUGAUUUUAAUUUAAGGUCUGACCUGCCCCAAUGAGUUUUUAAAUGGCCGCGGUAUUUUGACCGUGC
rnacentral:rRNA from 1 species